rnacentral:rRNA from 1 species
GAGUUUGAUCGUGGCUCAGAUUGAACGCUGGCGGCAUGCCUUACACAUGCAAGUCGAACGGCAGCACGGGAGCUUGCUCCUGGUGGCGAGUGGCGAACGGGUGAGUAAUGCAUCGGAACGUAUCCUGGAGUGGGGGAUAACGUAGCGAAAGUUACGCUAAUACCGCAUAUUCUGUGAGCAGGAAAGCGGGGGACCUUCGGGCCUCGCGCUCUUGGAGCGGCCGAUGUCGGAUUAGCUAGUUGGUGAGGUAAAGGCUCACCAAGGCGACGAUCCGUAGCAGGUCUGAGAGGAUGAUCUGCCACACUGGAACUGAGACACGGUCCAGGCUCCUACGGGGGCAGCAGUGGGGAAUUUUGGACAAUGGGGGCAACCCUGAUCCAGCCAUGCCGCGUGAGUGAAGAAGGCCUGG